rnacentral:misc_RNA from 1 species
UCCGAGUUGACCCCGGCAGUCUCCGAUGAGUCCCCAUCAGGCCGAAGCCCAUGCUGGCAACAUCGAACAAGGGUUGCGCUCGUUGCGGGACUUAACCCAACAUCUCACGACACGAGCUGACGACAACCAUGCACCACCUGUCCACCGACCAUAAAGGGGCACCUAUCUCUAGGUGUUUCCGGUGGAUGUCAAGCCUUGGUAAGGUUCUUCGCGUUGCGUCGAAUUAAGCCACAUGCUCCGCUGCUUGUGCGGGCCCCCGUCAAUUCCUUUGAGUUUUAGCCUUGCGGCCGUACUCCCCAGGCGGGGCACUUAAUGCGUUAGCUGCGGCGCAGACGACGUGGAAUGUCGCCCACACCUAGUGCCCAUCGUUUACGGCGUGGACUAC